AAAAUAGAGAUACCUAGCAAAAACCUCCAAUAUCGUAUUUUAACAAAAACCAGUAACAUAAAAAUCUCUUGACGAAAAAAAUCAAAAUCCAUUCGAUUUGGGAGUUGCUUCCGAAAUGGCUCCGAAGCCGAAAGAGAAAGCAAAGGCAUCUGCAGUAGCAAUCCCUGCUAUAUCAAUUGAAGAUCUCUUCACUUCGCUUAAUCGCCACAUUCAACGAUCCGAGUAUGAGCAAGCCGUCAAAGUUUCUGAUCAAAUUCUUGCGGCUGCGCCUGGAGAUGAGGACGCGAUACGGUGUAAAGUGGUGGCGUUAGUGAAAUCAGAUUCUAUAGAAGAAGCAUUGGUUGCUAUUAAAGACUGUAGCAAAAAGGGUUCUGUUGAUCUUAGCUUCUUUAAGGCAUAUUGCUUGUAUCGGCAAAAUAAAUUGGAGGAGGCUUUAGAGUCCUUGAAGGGGCAAGAAGGAAGUACUGAGUCAAUGCUGUUGGAAUCUCAGAUUUUGUAUCGAUUAGGAAAGAUGGGUACAUCUGUCGAUAUUUAUCAAAAGCUCCCAAAGUCUACGAUAGAUUCCUUGGAGAUAAAUCUUGUUGCUGGUCUGGUUUCUGCUGGAAGGUCUUCUGAAGUGCAGGGAACCUUGGAUUCACUGAGAGUUAAAGCAACUAGCAGUUUUGAAUUGGCUUACAACACUGCCUGCUCUUUAAUUGAAAGGGAGAAGUACAAAGAUGCCGAACAACUGUUAUUGUCAGCUCGAAGAAUUGGUCAGGAAGCACUUAUGGAAGAGAAUUUAGCUGAUGAUGAUGUUGAAAUUGAAUUGGCACCUAUAGCUGUUCAAAUUGCAUAUGUACAACAGAUUCUAGGGAACACCCAAGAGGCUGUUGCAUCGUAUACUGAUCUUGUCAAAAGAAAUUUGGCUGACGAGUCUUCACUUGCAGUGGCAGUAAAUAAUCUCAUUGCUUUAAAGGGUCCUAAAGAUGUCUCUGAUGGCCUAAGGAAACUUGAUAAGCUAAUAGAGAAAAGUGAUGGACCAGAGAAGUUCCAGCUUGCACGUGGACUAGACUUGAAGCUCUCACAGAAGCAAAGGGAAGCAAUAUAUACCAAUAGGGUGCUGCUGCUACUUCAUUCUAAUAAGAUGGAUCAGGCUAGAGAACUUGUUAGUGCUCUACCUGGGAUGUUCCCUGGUAGCUUGAUGCCUGUACUUCUUCAAGCUGCUGUACAUGUGAGAGAGAACAAGGCUGCUAAAGCUGAAGAAAUACUUGGACAGUAUGCAGAUAAGUUUCCUGACAGGUCCAAGGUUAUCCUGCUUGCAAGGGCUCAGGUUGCUGCAGCUGCUGGCCAUCCACAGAUAGCAGCCGAUUCCUUAGAGAAAAUACCUGACAUUCAACACAAGCCUGCAACUGUUGCGACCAUUGUUUCUCUCAAGGAACGGGCUGGUGAUACUGAUGGUGCUGAUGCUGUGUUUGAUUCCGCAAUCAAGUGGUGGUCAAAUGCCAUGACUGAAGACAAUAAGCUCAAUACCAUCAAUGCAGGAGGCUGCUGCUUUCAAGCUCAGGCAUGGAAGGAAAGAGGAGGCAGCACGCCUUUAUGAGCAGCUAGUGAAAAGCCAUGGAAGUAUUGAGGCUUUAGUUGGAUUAAUCCAGACUGCAGCCCAUGGUGACAUUUGAGAAAGCAGAAGCUUAUGAGAAGCAGUUAAAACCACUACCUGGUUUGAAAGCAAUAGAUGUCGACAGUUUGGAGAAAACUUCUGGUGCCAAGCAUGCCGAGAAAGGCCCGAAUGCUGGUGUCACUGAAACAUAUGAAGCGAAGAGUAAGGAUAAGGCAAAGAAAAAGAGGAAGAGAAAGCCAAAAUAUCCAAAGGGCUUUGACCCGGCUAAUCCAGGACCUCCACCUAAUCCAGAGAGGUGGCUUCCCAAGAGGGAGAGGUCUAGUUACAGACCAAAGAGAAAGGAUAAGAGAGCAGCUCAAAUUAGAGGUUCUCAAGGUGCAGUGGCUAAAGAGGCAGCGAGCAAUAGCGAUACAAAAUCAAACCAGCCAGCUAAUCCAAAAGGAGGCACUCAGAAUGCAAGCACUGUGCAAUCAAAGGCUUCAUCCAAAUCUUCCAGGAAGAAAUCAAGGAAGUAAUCCAACAACAGAUAACCAAUGUUUCUUUGUUAUUGUUUCGGUGGAUUCUUUUUGCCUGAUUCGUUUCGCAUGUUUGUUGUACAACACGAGUUAGUCUCGGAGAUGUCCAUUUAUCUAUUGGUAACUUUUUGUACUUUUUCAUACAUAAGGUUGUAGGGGAGGGGCAUUGUUGCUUGCAUCUGAAGUUAACCUACCUUAAUCAGAUUUGGAAAGGUCUCAUUUACUUGGUUCUGUUAGGUCUAAAAUAUUUAGGAUUGUGGCAUCAAUGGAUGGAUGAGCUAUUUUGUU